rnacentral:rRNA from 1 species
GUAGACGGCCAUCUUAGGCUGAAAGCACCAUAUCCCGUCUGCUCUGUGAAGUAAAGCAUAAAGUGUAAUGUAAUUUGUUCCUCUGUGAAGUAAAGCAGCCUCAAGCUCGGGUAGUACUCGGGUGGGUGACCACCGGGGAAGUCCGGGUGCGGUCUACU